AUUGAACGCUGGCGGCAUGCUUUACACAUGCAAGUCGAACGGUAACAGGCCGCAAGGUGCUGACGAGUGGCGAACGGGUGAGUAAUGCAUCGGAACGUGCCCAGUCGUGGGGGAUAACGCAGCGAAAGCUGUGCUAAUACCGCAUACGAUCUAUGGAUGAAAGCGGGGGACCGUAAGGCCUCGCGCGAUUGGAGCGGCCGAUGUCAGAUUAGGUAGUUGGUGGGGUAAAGGCUCACCAAGCCAACGAUCUGUAGCUGGUCUGAGAGGACGACCAGCCACACUGGGACUGGGACACGGCCCAGACUCCUACGGGAGGCAGCAGUGGGGAAUUCUGGACAAUGGGCGCAAGCCUGAUCCAGCAAUGCCGCGUGCAGGAGGAAGGCCUUCGGGUUGUAAACUGCUUUUGUACGGAACGAAAAGGUUUGGGUUAAUACCCUGGGCCGAUGACGGUACCGUAAGAAUAAGCACCGGCUAACUACGUGCCAGCAGCCGCGGUAA
rnacentral:rRNA from 1 species